rnacentral:rRNA from 1 species
CGCAUGGUCUUCUGGGAAAGCUUUCGCGGUAUGGGAUGGGGUCGCGUCCUAUCAGCUUGACGGCGGGGUAACGGCCCACCGUGGCUUCGACGGGUAGCCGGCCUGAGAGGGCGACCGGCCACAUUGGGACUGAGAUACGGCCCAGACUCCUACGGGAGGCAGCAGUGGGGAAUAUUGCACAAUGGGCGCAAGCCUGAUGCAGCGACGCCGCGUGAGGGAUGGAGGCCUUCGGGUUGUAAACCUCUUUUAUCGGGGAGCAAGCGAGAGUGAGUUUACCCGUUGAAUAAGCACCGGCUAACUACGUGCCAGCAGCCGCGGUAAUACGUAGGGUGCAAGCGUUAUCCGGAAUUAUUGGGCGUAAAGGGCUCGUAGGCGGUUCGUCGCGUCCGGUGUGAAAGUCCAUCGCUUAACGGGGAUCCGCGCCGGGUACGGGCG